GGAUUCCUGGUGUGGGAUGGAACUAUAGAAUGCUUGGACAUUGACAGCGAAGCUGAGCUUGCUGUAACCAGGAAUUUGUACAAUGUGAAAGGCUAUCAAGAAUGUAAGAAGCAAUGGACUGAGCAGUGAUUUUUGCUAAGAACUUAUACGGAGCUGAGGGGCUCACAAGGCAGUCCUCCAAUCUACGUUAGGUCUCACCAAUGUAGAGAAGGUCGCGUCAAGAGAGUAGGAAACCCAUGGGAACACUGGAUACAAUAGAGAGCCCCGACAGAUUCACAGGUAAAGUGUUAUCUCACUUGGAAGGACUGUUGGGGCCCUGUAUGGAAGUGAGGGAGGAGGUGAAUGGGCAGGUGUAGCAUUUUGGUGCUUGCAGGAACAAGUGCCAGGAGGAAAAUUAGUGGGGAGUGAUGAAUGGACAAGGGAAUCAAGGAAGAAGUGAUCGCUAUGGAAAGCGGAGAGUGGGGGAGAGGUAAAGGUGAGUCUUGUGGUAGUGUCCCAUUCAAGAUGGCGGAAGUUGCAGAGAAUGACGCAGAGGUUCAUAGAGUGGUAGGUGAGGACAAGAGGAAGGUAGCUGCGGGAAGAUGGAGUGAGUGUGGAUGUCCAGAAAAUGAAGGAGUUGCGUGUGAGGGCAGCAUCAGUGGUGGAGGAAGAGAAACCCCUUUCUUUGAUGAAGGAGGACAUCUCUGAUAUUCUGAAAAGGAAAGCCUCAUUAAGCAAACUGAUGCAGCAGAGAUGAAGGGACUAAGAAAAGGGAAUGGCAUUUUUAUAGGAGACAGGAUGGGAAAUGGUAUAGUCAAGAUAGCCAUGGGAAUUAGUGAGUUUAUAAAAUAUAUUGGUAGACAGUUUUUCUCCAGUGAUAGAGACAGAGAAAUAGAGAAAGGGGAGAGAGUUGUCAGAAAUGGACUGAGUGAAUUUAAGGGCAGGGUGGAAGUUGGAGGCAAAGUUGAUGAAAUUGACCAGCUCACCAUGGAUGCAUGAAGCAGCACCAUGGCAGUUGUCAAUAUAGUGUUGACAGAGUUGAGCAUUAGUAGGGAAGGACUUGAACAUCGACUGUUCUGCACAGCCAACAAAAAAACAGGCAUAGAUCAGUGUACACAGGUGCCCAUGGCUGCAUCUUGGGUUUGGAGAAAAUGGGAAGAGCAGAAAGAGAAACUGUUGAAGAUGAGGACCAGUUCUAUCAGGCAGAGGAGGGUGGUGGUGAAGGGGAAGUGGUCGGGUGUGUUGUUAAGAAAGAAGUGGAGAGCUUUAACCCCUUGUCGAUGGGGGAAUAGAAGUAUAUAGAGACUGGACAUCCAUGGUGAAAAUGAGGUGAUUAGGGUCAGGGAAUUUGAAGUUGUUGAGGCGAUUGCAGGAUGGGUCUGAACAAAGGAGGAUAAAAUGAAGUUAAAAUACACGGACAUGAGUUCAGUGGGACAGGAACAGACAGAAACAUGGACAUACCCGGGCAGAUAGGUUUGUGGAUCUUGGAUAGGAGAUAGAAACGAGCAGUGGAAGGGAGAUCUCCAUUGCUAAUGAGGUUGGUGAUAGUAUCGGAGACAAUGUCCUGAAUGUCUGAGUAGGGUCCUUUUCCAGGGCCAAGUAAGAGGAGGUGACUGAGUGUUGCUACCUGGUCAGUGUGCCACACUAUAACAGCAUUCCGUUUUCUACGGGUUUAAUGGUGCAGAUAGGAUUGGGGCAGAGAGUGUGAAGGGCAGUGUGUUCAGAAGGGCUAAGGUUUGGAGAGGAGAGAGGAGUGUUGAUGUCAAACCGGUUAAAGUUAACUCAGCAAUUAGAGAUGAAAGGUCCAGAGGAGGCAAUCUACCAGACUGGAGUGACCAAAAAGAAGAAGAGGGUGGGAGAUGGGAAAUGGUGUCAUCAGUGUGGGUGUUAACAAAAAUAAUACUGUGAAUAUGAGUUGUAAAUAGUCCUUGAAAGGGAGUCCAUUAGAUAAUAGAAUCAGUUCAGAGUAGUGAUGAAUUAAGUUCAGGGAGGCUGAUGGUUGUUGGGUAUUAACUGUUCUUGAACUAGGUGGCCUAGGGCUUCUGUACCUCCUGCCUGAUCAAGAAAAGAGCAUGCCCUGUACUGUGGGGGAUCUUUGGAAAUGGACGCUGCUUUCGAUUAAAAAUACAAUGUGAAAAUACCCAAUGGUGGCAUUCUAUUCUCUGAUCUCUAUAAAAGCACAUUUCCAACAGAUUUCAGAUAGUAAGCAGGAGUGUGAAUAGUGGACAUUCUUCCCUGUCUGACGCCUGCAAUUUGCUAAUUUUAGCUAAAAAUGUACCAGCUUCAGCGAAGGCUGUGCCCAAUGCUACAGGGCUUCCUGAGGUCUGCAUUCUUUUGAACCUUUUAUUUAAAUUGCUGCUUUAUUGGGACCUUGGUGCCAGUUUCUUUAUGUGGGUAGCUUAACUGCACCUUAUCACUAUUUUAAAGCAUUUUUUAAACUUUAAAAUAAACAAAGUUAAUUGUAUUUAUUGAAGUGAGUAAAAGAUUUCUAACCCUUCCCACAUCCUUCUACCAAUAUAAAUGAAAAGUGGCAUGCUAAAAAACUUUGAACAAUAUCUUGCAGCAAAAAAUGCAGAUUAAAUCACGUAAAAGAAUGAAAAUGAGUUUGUCUUGGUGUUUACAUGGAAUAAACAUUUACUAGGUAAUGAGCAUUUAAAAUUCACAUGUAUUUGAAAUAGUAAAUCUUUAUGAACUUCAUAACUUUGAACUUUUGUAUUUGUAUCUUAAAUACUGAUCUAGAUAUUUUUAACAAAGAGUUGGUCAGUUA